AGCAACAUAUAUGAGACAGAACAGUCUAACAAGGAAUAACGUGUCUUUAUGUUGCAUGAAGCAUUUUUCUGACACUGACAAGGUUUCACACUAUGAUCUUAGAAUCAAGAUCCUAAAAGUGGCCACAUUUUUAAAGACGCUAAACAGCUACAGCUCUCAUGGAUUUACUGGUUCCAGGACUCCUGAAUCCCUAUCUACAUAGUGGCUUAGCUUCAAUAGGAGAGUGGGGGAUUGUCCUCGGCUGUGCCUGCCCCAUAGCUAGGACUAUCAACUAAUGCAGAAAAGCUCAUGAAGAAUCUCUUCUAAGCCCCAACAAAGUGGAACAAGUGAAAGGGUACUACGGUACAAGGGGGCCAUUUGAUAACUGCAUGCACCUCCCUUUCAUCCUCAAAUAGAAAUAAUCUGAGGCAGAGCUAAAAGGUUUAUUACACGCAGAGAAUUUUCCUGGAGUUCUGCACAAAAUUUGCUGAAAGCCGCAAAAGUUUGCAGUGUUUUUUUCAAAGGCUGGAAAUAAUCUUCCUGUGAUGGGAUGGAUUACAUUUCUAUGGGGCAAGGAAUAAGGAUUUGAAUGAGGACUCUGGGUGGCCAUUUUAAGAUUGUUUUGAAGUCAAUUAUCUCUAAUUAUGUUUGCCUGAUAGAAACAGGCCAAUCUGAAAUGCCCUGGAACCUCAUCAACCACCCAAUUGCUGGCAUGAGACCAAGAGGACAAUUGCCUGCUGUGCCUCAGACCAAGAAACUCACUCUGAAACACCUGUUCAAGAAACUGAAUUGCAGAAAAAGAAUGGGUUGGCCAGAGGGUGAAGAAACUAUCUUUGAUCCAUCUUCAAGAUUUCUUUCUUAAGGUCCAUGUUUCUUUUCAUAUUUUUGUUAAAAACUGUAUUUAUCAUCAGGCAUGUGGCGUUUUGGGCUGUUUUAGUUACCCUCUCCUGUUAGCAUGUUACCAUUGCUGCUUUCUGUACUAGCAACAUCCAGAAGAUUACUCAGUUAGGCUUUGCAUUCAAAGAAAAUAUUACAGGAAUAAUAUCAAUGUCAUCAUCUCCUUUCACUUGUAAUGCCCCUAAGAAAUGUGUUUAGAAAAACUAUUACAGAUUCCAGUGUUGGGGCCUCUCUUAUUUUUCUGUCUGGGAUAUAAAAACCUCCUACUAGAGAAAGAAGAUUCCAACUGGAAUGAGAUUAUAAUGCAAUGAUCUGGUUCAAAACAUUUUGCCAUGAUUUUAGCAGCAUGCUAGGAGCUCCCUCUGCUCCUGGGCUUAAUUAAAUUUGAACUUCUUAUAUGGUUCAGCACAAUUUUUGGAAGUCCACCAAUAAGUAUGGGAGGUUUGUAGUUGAGACAAAGGGUUCGUUUGCCAGGGUCUGAAUCUCUUGAGGGAAGCUAACUGCAGGCCCAGAUCAUUUCUUUUCAUUGGAUGUAAAACAGCUUUGCUCAUAGCUGAGUUUGCUAGUAAUGGCAGCUUAUGACAGAACUGUAUCCUUCCAGCAAUAAUUAUACCAGAAAUUAUCCAGCAAUGACUGUAGGUGUGUAUCCACUCAGUAGUUCUUUGCCACUAUGUAAAAAAGCAUUCAAGAAUGGGUACUUGACUUUAGCAGUGUCUUUAAAUAUGGAAAGCCACCUAUUUAGUAAAAAUUGCAUACUAACCCUUUCAGAUACUAUUUCAUAUCAAAUUGUGAUAUGUAGAUAUUAUGCUGAAAUAAAAAAAGUGUGUACCUGCAUACAACUGCUUGUUCUAUUUUUCAGGCUAACAGCUUAGCUGUAACAUUUGUGCAUUAGCUAAAUAACAUCUCAAGGGGAG